rnacentral:rRNA from 1 species
AGUUUGAUCCUGGCUCAGGAUGAACGCUAGCUACAGGCUUAACACAUGCAAGUCGAGGGGCAGCAUUUUAGUUUGCUUGCAAACUAAAGAUGGCGACCGGCGCACGGGUGAGUAACACGUAUCCAACCUGCCGAUAACUCGGGGAUAGCCUUUCGAAAGAAAGAUUAAUAUCCGAUAGUAUAUUAAAACCGCAUGGUUUUACUAUUAAAGAAUUUCGGUUAUCGAUGGGGAUGCGUUCCAUUAGUUUGUUGGCGGGGUAACGGCCCACCAAGACUACGAUGGAUAGGGGUUCUGAGAGGAAGGUCCCCCACAUUGGAACUGAGACACGGUCCAAACUCCUACGGGAGGCAGCAGUGAGGAAUAUUGGUCAAUGGACGAGAGUCUGAACCAGCCAAGUAGCGUGAAGGAUGACUGCCCUAUGGGUUGUAAACUUCUUUUAUAUGGGAAUAAAGUAUUCCACGUGUGGGAUUUUGUAUGUACCAUAUGAAUAAGGAUCGGCUAACUCCGUGCCAGCAGCCGCGGUAAUACGGAGGAUCCGAGCGUUAUCCGGAUUUAUUGGGUUUAAAGGGAGCGUAGGUGGAUUGUUAAGUCAGUUGUGAAAGUUUGCGGCUCAACCGUAAAAUUGCAGUUGAAACUGGCAGUCUUGAGUACAGUAGAGGUGGGCGGAAUUCGUGGUGUAGCGGUGAAAUGCUUAGAUAUCACGAAGAACUCCGAUUGCGAAGGCAGCUCACUAGACUGCAACUGACACUGAUGCUCGAAAGUGUGGGUAUCAAACAGGAUUAGAUACCCUGGUAGUCCACACAGUAAACGAUGAAUACUCGCUGUUUGCGAUAUACAGUAAGCGGCCAAGCGAAAGCAUUAAGUAUUCCACCUGGGGAGUACGCCGGCAACGGUGAAACUCAAAGGAAUUGACGGGGGCCCGCACAAGCGGAGGAACAUGUGGUUUAAUUCGAUGAUACGCGAGGAACCUUACCCGGGCUUAAAUUGCAUUUGAAUAAUCUGGAAACAGGUUAGCCGCAAGGCAAAUGUGAAGGUGCUGCAUGGUUGUCGUCAGCUCGUGCCGUGAGGUGUCGGCUUAAGUGCCAUAACGAGCGCAACCCUUAUCUUUAGUUACUAACAGGUCAUGCUGAGGACUCUAGAGAGACUGCCGUCGUAAGAUGUGAGGAAGGUGGA